UACAGAGGUCUCAAGCGUUGUUCGGAUUCAUUGGGCGUAAAGAGUGCGUAGGUGGCGGGGCAAGUCAGGUGUGAAAUCUCGGGGCUCAACCCCGAAACUGCACUUGAUACUGCCUUGCUCGAGUACUGGAGAGGAGACUGGAAUUUACGGUGUAGCAGUGAAAUGCGUAGAUAUCGUAAGGAAGACCAGUGGCGAAGGCGAGUCUCUGGACAGUUACUGACACUGAGGCACGAAGGCCAGGGGAGCAAACGGG
rnacentral:rRNA from 1 species